rnacentral:rRNA from 1 species
UACCAGCACCCCGAGUGGUCGGGACGAUUAUUGGGCCUAAAGCAUCCGUAGCUUGUUCUGCAAGUCCUCCGUUAAAUCCACCUGCUCAACAGAUGGGCUGCGGGGGAUACUACAGGGCUAGGAGGCGGGAGAGGCAAACGGUACUCAGUGGGUAGGGGUAAAAUCCGCUGAUCCACUGAAGACCACCAGUGGCGAAGGCGGUGUGCCAGAACGCGCUCGACGGUGAGGGAUGAAAGCUGGGGGAGCAAACCGG